rnacentral:rRNA from 1 species
ACGGAGGGUGCAAGCGUUAUCCGGAUUUACUGGGUUUAAAGGGUGCGUAGGCGGAUUUUUAAGUCAGUGGUGAAAGCCCGGAGCUCAACUCCGGAACUGCCAUUGAUACUAUUAAUCUUGAAUACAGUUGAGGUGGGCGGAAUGUGUAGUGUAGCGGUGAAAUGCUUAGAUAUUACACAGAACACCGAUUGCGAAGGCAGCUCGCUAAACUGUUAUUGACGCUGAGGCACGAAAGCGUGGGGAGCGAACAGG